rnacentral:rRNA from 1 species
CCUACGUGUGGCAGCAGUGAGGAAUAUUGGUCAAUGGGCGCAAGCCUGACCCAGCCAAGUCGCGUGAAGGAUGACUGUCCUACGGUUUGUAAACUUCUUUUAUAAAGGAAUAAAGUGAGGCACGUGUGCCUGUUUGUAUGUACUUUAUGAAUAAGGAUCGGCUAACUCCGUGCCAGCAGCCGCGGUAAUACGGAGGGUCCGAGCGUUAUCAGGAUUUAUUGGGUUUAACGGGUGCGUAGAUGGGUUGUUAAGUCAGUUGUGAAAGUUUGGGGCUCAACCGUAAAAUUGCAAUUGAUACUGGCAGUCUUGAGUACAGUUGAGGUAGGCGGAAUUCGUGGUGUAGCGGUGAAAUGCUUAGAUAUCACGAAGAACUCCGAUUGCGAAGGCAGCUUACUAAACUGCCACUGACAUUGAGGCUCGAAAGUGUGGGUAUCAAACAGGAUUAGAUACCCGAGUAGUC